AGAAAGGAGGAUAUUACGACUAUAACAAUCGGAAUGUAUGAGAACUUUUCAGACAAUUGUUAUGUUGUGAUCAUUGGAAUGUUGUGAACUCUUGAUAUCUAAUGACUUGGGAUAAUAAUGUGGAUUUAUAUUUCAAACGUUUUGUUGGGUUAGGGUUAGGGUUCUUUUGUAUUUUGUAUGUAUUUAUUUAUUGUUUGAGUUACGCCAAGCGGUUUUGUAAAGCAUUAUUGGAAAACCUAUGUAAGUAAAUGCAUAGUGCUCCAGGAACCAUUUAAAACAUUGUCUACAAAAAAAAUUAUAAAUCAACCACUCAUAGAUGUACGAUUGG
rnacentral:sRNA from 1 species